rnacentral:rRNA from 1 species
ACCCGCUGAACUUAAGCAUAUCAAUAAGCGGAGGAAAAGAAACCAACAGGGAUUGCCCUAGUAACGGCGAGUGAAGCGGCAACAGCUCAAAUUUGAAAUCUGGCCUCGGCCCGAGUUGUAAUUUGCAGAGGAUGCUUCUGGCGCGGUGCCUUCCGAGUUCCCUGGAACGGGACGCCACAGAGGGUGAGAGCCCCGUAUGGUCGGACACCAAGCCUGUGUGAAGCUCCUUCGACGAGUCGAGUAGUUUGGGAAUGCUGCUCUAAAUGGGAGGUAAAUCUCUUCUAAAGCUAAAUACCGGCCAGAGACCGAUAGCGCACAAGUAGAGUGAUCGAAAGAUGAAAAGCACCUUGAAAAGGGGGUUAAAUAGUACGUGAAAUUGUUGAAAGGGAAGCACUUGUGACCAGACUUGGGCCGGGCGGCUCAUCAGGGGUUCUCCCCUGUGCACUCCGCCCGGCACAGGCCAGCAUCAGUUCUCGUGGGGGGAUAAGACCGUCAGGAACGUAGCACCCUCCGGGGUGUGUUAUAGCCUGGCGGACGAUACCCCCGUGGGGACUGAGGUUCGCGCUCCGCAAGGAUGCUGGCGUAAUGGUCACCAGUGACCCGUCUUGAAACACGGACCAAGGAGUCGUCCAUUAGAGCGAGCGUUUGGGUGUAAAACCCGCACGCGUAAUGAAAGUGAACGCAGGUGAGAGCUUCGGCGCAUCAUCGACCGAUCCUGAUGUUCUCGGAAGGAUUUGAGUAAGAGUUUUAACGGACGGACCCGAAAGACAGUGAACUAUGCUUGUAUAGGGUGAAGCCAGAGGAAACUCUGGUGGAGGCUCGCAGCGGUUCUGACGUGCAAAUCGAUCGUCAAA